UAUUAAAAAAAUUACUCAUUUCUACUAUUAAAAAUUAGUGUGACUAACAAAAUAAUGAGACAAUUAUAUAUAGUGUGCCACAUAUACUUUAUGUUGAUAUAUAUAUACAAAUUUUUAAUAAUAAAAAUAGAUAAAAUUAUUAACA
rnacentral:pre_miRNA from 1 species